CGAGUGGAACAUACGGCGGCGGGACAGUUCGCAAGAACUGCCUGAGGAAAGUCCGGGCUUCACAGAGGCAUAGCAACUGCUAACGGCAGCCGGGGGCGACCCCAGGGAUAGUGCAACAGAAAGAAACCGCCGUGCUUGCACGGUAAGGAUGGAAAGGCGAGGUAAGAGCUCACCAGCGCACUGGCGACUUUGCGGCUAUGUAAACCCUGCUUGAAGCAACAUCCGUAUGGGACAUUAUGCGGAGCCUCGCGCGUCCCGGUGAUGGCGUGAGCCUUACGGCAACGUAAGGCCAAGAUAGAUCGUCGUUUGAUACAGAACCCGGCUUACGGUCCAGUCGUUUU
rnacentral:RNase_P_RNA from 1 species